UCCGCAUUAGUGUAGGGGUUAACAUACUCCGCUUUCACUGACUUGAGCACCGGAGAGCCCCGGGUUCGAUUCCCGGAUGCGGAA
rnacentral:tRNA from 2 species